rnacentral:rRNA from 1 species
AACGAACGCUGGCGGCAUGCCUAACACAUGCAAGUCGAACGAGACCUUCGGGUCUAGUGGCGCACGGGUGCGUAACGCGUGGGAACCUGCCCUUAGGUUCGGAAUAACUCAGAGAAAUUUGAGCUAAUACCGGAUAAUGUCUUCGGACCAAAGAUUUAUCGCCUUUGGAUGGGCCCGCGUAGGAUUAGCUUGUUGGUGGGGUAAUGGCCUACCAAGGCGACGAUCCUUAGCUGGUCUGAGAGGAUGAUCAGCCACACUGGGACUGAGACACGGCCCAGACUCCUACGGGAGGCAGCAGUGGGGUAUAUUGGACAAUGGGCGAAAGCCUGAUCCAGCAAGGCCGCGUGAGUGAUGAAGGCCUUAGGGUUGUAAAGCUCUUUUACCAGGGAUGAUAAUGACAGUACCUGGAGAAUAAGCUCCGGCUAACUCCGUG